rnacentral:rRNA from 1 species
AUACGGAGGGUGCAAGCGUUAAUCGGAAUUACUGGGCGUAAAGCGUACGUAGGCGGUCCGUUAAGUUAGAUGUGAAAGCCCCGGGCUUAACCUGGGAACUGGAUUUAAAACUGGCGAACUAGAGUUGAGUAGAGGGGAGUGGAAUUUCAGGUGUAGCGGUGAAAUGCGUAGAGAUCUGAAGGAACACCAGUGGCGAAGGCGACUCCCCGGACUCGAACUGACGCUGAGGUACGAAAGCGUGGGUAGCAAACGGGAUUAGAUACCCCAGUAGUCC